rnacentral:rRNA from 1 species
UUGAACGCUGGCGGCAUGCCUUACACAUGCAAGUCGAACGGUAGAGGGGCAACCCUUGAGAGUGGCGAACGGGUGAGUAAUAUAUCGGAACGUGCCCAGUCGUGGGGGAUAACGCAGCGAAAGCUGCGCUAAUACCGCAUACGAUCUAUGGAUGAAAGCGGGGGAUCGCAAGACCUCGCGCGAUUGGAGCGGCCGAUAUCAGAUUAGGUAGUUGGUGGGGUAAAAGCCCACCAAGCCG